UACGGGGGGGGCAAGCGUUGUUCGGAAUUACUGGGCGUAAAGGGCUCGUAGGCGGCCAACUAAGUCAGACGUGAAAUCCCUCGGCUUAACUCGGAAAGGUCAACUGAUACUGUGCGACUAGAGUGCAGAAGGGGCAACUGGAAUUCUCGGUGUAGCGGUGAAAUGCGUAGAUAUCAGGAGGAACACCGGUGGCGAAGGCGCACAUCUGGCCCGAUACUGACGCUGAGGCGCGAAAGCUAGGGGAGCAAACGGG
rnacentral:rRNA from 1 species